UACAGAGGGUGCGAGCGUUGUCCGGAAUCACUGGGCGUAAAGGGCGCGUAGGCGGCCUGAUAAGUAGGGGGUGAAAUCCUGUGGCUUAACUGCAGGGCUGCCUCCUAGACUGUUGGGCUUGAGCACGGUAGAGGAAGAUGGAAUUCCCGGUGUAGCGGUGGAAUGCGCAGAUAUCAGGAAGAACACCCGUGGCGAAGGCGGUUCUCUGGGACGGUACUGACGCUGAGACGCGAAAGCGUGGGGAGCGAACAGG
rnacentral:rRNA from 1 species